GACGAACCGUGCAAACGUUAUUCGGAAUCACUGGGCAUAAAGGGCGCGUAGGUGGCCCGGUCAGUUCGUGGUGAAAGCGCGGGGCUCAACCCUGCGUCGGCCAUGAAUACUGCCGCGGCUGGAGCACUGUAGAGGCAGGCGGAAUUCCGGGUGUAGCGGUGGAAUGCGUAGAGAUCCGGAAGAACACCGGUGGCGAAGGCGGCCUGCUGGGCAGUUGCUGACACUGAGGCGCGACAGCGUGGGGAGCAAACAGG
rnacentral:rRNA from 1 species